rnacentral:sRNA from 1 species
AGGAUUUUCCGAGCACCCACCCCGGUGCCCCGCGGGCCCCGGCUGGGGGCAGGGCCCCCAACGCGUGCAGCGACACAAUCAGUGGAGCGCUCCCCACCCUCACCCCACCCCCAGCCCCUUUAGACCCACAGCUGAUGAGGCACGUGGAGUGGCAGAGAUGGAAGAGGGGAGGGAGAGGAAUCGUUCCUGGCCGCCUGCCGAGUGCCAGUCCCUGCCCCGGGUGCGUCUCUUCACUCCCACUAAGGAGGAAACGGCUCAGAGAGGGGAAGUGUUUGGCCAAGGUCACCCAGCGAUUCAGCCGGCUGCAGGGGAAGUCCCGGCGCCCGGCGAAACCACCCUCCCGUGCAGCCGAGCCCAGCCGCUCUCCGGCCGCCGUCCCCGGCGGCCCCAUGCCCCGAUGCCCCGCGGGGGCCAUGGACGAGGGGCCCGUGGACCUGCGCACCCGGCCCAAGGCCGCCGGACUCCCGGGCGCCGCGCUGCCGCUCCGCAAGCGCCCGCUGCGCGCGCCCUCCCCGGAGCCCGCCGCUCCCCGCGGCGCUGCGGGCCUUGUCGUCCCCCUGGACCCUCUGCGCGGCGGCUGCGACCUGCCGGCGGUCCCCGGGC